rnacentral:rRNA from 1 species
ACGAACGCUGGCGGCGUGCCUAAUACAUGCACGUAGAACGCACAGUUUAUACCGUAGCUUGCUACACCAUAGACUGUGAGUUGCGAACGGGUGAGUAACGCGUAGGUAACCUGCCUGGUAGCGGGGGAUAACUAUUGGAAACGAUAGCUAAUACCGCAUAAUAUUGAUUAUUGCAUGAUAAUUGAUUGAAAGAUGCUAUUGCAUCACUACCAGAUGGACCUGCGUUGUAUUAGCUAGUAGGUGAGGUAACGGCUCACCUAGGCGACGAUACAUAGCCGACCUGAGAGGGUGAUCGGCCACACUGGGACUGAGACACGGCCCAGACUCCUACGGGAGGCAGCAGUAGGGAAUCUUCGGCAAUGGACGAAAGUCUGACCGAGCAACGCCGCGUGAGUGAAGAAGGUUUUCGGAUCGUAAAGCUCUGUUGUAAGAGAAGAACGGGUGUGAGAGUGGAAAGUUCACACUGUGACGGUAUCUUACCAGAAAGGGACGGCUAACUACGUG